rnacentral:rRNA from 1 species
GACGAACGCUGGCGGCGUGCCUAAUACAUGCAAGUAGAACGCACAGUUUAUACCGUAGCUUGCUACACCAUAGACUGUGAGUUGCGAACGGGUGAGUAACGCGUAGGUAACCUGCCUGGUAGCGGGGGAUAACUAUUGGAAACGAUAGCUAAUACCGCAUAAUAUUAAUUAUUGCAUGAUAAUUAAUUGAAAGGUGCAAUUGCACCACUACCAGAUGGACCUGCGUUGUAUUAGCUAGUAGGUGAGGUAACGGCUCACCUAGGCGACGAUACAUAGCCGACCUGAGAGGGUGAUCGGCCGCACUGGGACUGAGACACGGCCCAGACUCCUACGGGAGGCAGCAGUAGGGAAUCUUCGGCAAUGGACGAAAGUCUGACCGAGCAACGCCGCGUGAGUGAAGAAGGUUUUCGGAUCGUAAAGCUCUGUUGUAAGAGAAGAACGGGUGUGAGAGUGGAAAGUUCACACUGUGGCGGUAUCUUACCAGAAAGGGACGGCUAACUACGUG